rnacentral:rRNA from 1 species
GAUAAACGCUGGCGGCGUGCCUAAUGCAUGCAAGUCGAACGGGAGCGUCUUCGGGCGUCGACCGUGGCGGACGGGUGAGGAACACGUAGCUAACCUGCCCGGACCCGGGGGAUACCGGCCGGAAACGGCGACUAAUACCCCAUGGGGUCAGUUGUGGGGACAUGACUGACGAAAGGUGGCAACACCGGGACUGGAGGGGGCUGCGGCCGAUUAGCUGGCUGGUGGGGUAACGGCCUACCAGGGCGAUGAUCGGAGCUGGUCUGAGAGGACGGCCAGCCACACGGGGACUGAGACACGGCCCCGACUCCUACGGGAGGCAGCAGCAAGGAAUUUUCCACAAUGGGCGCAAGCCUGAUGGAGCAACGCCGCGU